rnacentral:rRNA from 1 species
UACGGAGGGUGCGAGCGUUGUCCGGAAUUAUUGGGCGUAAAGAGCUCGUAGGCGGUUUGUCGCGUCUGCUGUGAAAUCUGGAGGCUCAACCUCCGGCCUGCAGUGGGUACGGGCAGACUAGAGUGCGGUAGGGGAGAUUGGAACUCCUGGUGUAGCGGUGGAAUGCGCAGAUAUCAGGAAGAACACCGAUGGCGAAGGCAGAUCUCUGGGCCGUAACUGACGCUGAGGAGCGAAAGCAUGGGGAGCGAACAGG